GAUCCUGGGCUCAGGAUGAACGCUAGCUACAGGCUUAACACAUGCAAGUCGAGGGGCAGCAUGAACUUAGCUUGCUAAGUUUGAUGGCGACCGGCGCACGGGUGAGUAACACGUAUCCAACCUUCCCGUUACUCUGGGAUAGCCUUUCGAAAGAAAGAUUAAUACCGGAUAGUAUCGAGAGAUUGCAUGAUAACCCGAUUAAAGAUUUAUCGGUAACGGAUGGGGAUGCGUUCCAUUAGAUAG
rnacentral:rRNA from 1 species